rnacentral:rRNA from 1 species
UACGGAGGGGGCGAGCGUUGUCCGAAGUUACUGGGCGUAAAGCGCACGUAGGCGGUUACUCAAGUCAGAGGUGAAAGCCCGGGGCUCAACCCCGGAACUGCCUUUGAAACUAGGUGACUGGAAUCUUGGAGAGGCGAGUGGAAUUCCGAGUGUAGAGGUGAAAUUCGUAGAUAUUCGGAAGAACACCAGUGGCGAAGGCGACUCGCUGGACAAGUAUUGACGCUGAGGUGCGAAAGCGUGGGGAGCAAACAGG